AUUGAACGCUGGCGGCAGGCCUAACACAUGCAAGUCGAACGAGUGGCGGAAGGGUGAGUAAUGUCUGGGAAACUGCCUGAUGGAGGGGGAUAACUACUGGAAACGGUAGCUAAUACCGCAUACCAUCAGAAGUGCCCAGAUGGGAUUAGCUUGUUGGUGGGGUAACGGCUCACCAAGGCGACGAUCCCUAGCUGGUCUGAGAGGAUGACCGGCCACACUGGAACUGAGACACGGUCCAGACUCCUACGGGAGGCAGCAGUGGGGAAUAUUGCUCAAUGGGCGCAAGCCUGAUGCAGCCAUGCGGCGUGUAUGAAGAAGGCCUUCGGGUUGUAAAGUACUGUCAGCGGUGAUGCGUUACCCGCAGAAGAAGCACCGGCUAACUCCGUGCCAGCAGCCGCGGUAAUAC
rnacentral:rRNA from 1 species